AAGCAAUGCAGUAAAUCAGCCAGAAGUAGGGAUACCACUCUGAUUCAUCAUCACACUUGCAACACAGCUACAUUUGGAAUACAAGACAACAAACAGGCUGAAUGGCUGCCUCUCUAUUAAGCCCAUCUUAGUUCUGAAAGAUGAGCAUGCUCCAGGUUUGAUACUGGAAUCUGCUUUCAGGACAUCUGUGACCUGCUGAAAUGGCUUCCUGAGAUAAAGGCUAGAGAGGCUUCUCUAAGGACCUGCUGCAUUUGGAGUGGAGGUUCAAACUUCUUUAGUAAGGAGGACUCAGCUUUCUUCCCUCCAGAGUAUGUGGCAUCAGGUGUCAUCUUCAAGCAGAGUACAGACAUUACAGACAUCACUGGACAAUUGAACCCACUGGAACCCUGACCUUGAGACAUGCAGCCUUCAGAACUUGACAAAUACACUUUUGUUCUAUAUAGAUAUCCAGUCUGUGCUAUAUAUUAGAGGAUGGAAUGGAGAUGUGAAGAUGCAGACCCUAUGCUAUUGGUAGGAAAGCAGACCAGUGCUGUCAUGGAAAAUACUGAGAAUGCCCCUCAAAACAUGAAGAUACAUCUACCAUUGAUGCAGAAACUGACUGCUGUUUCUCUACCUGACCAAAUCAGGCUCCAACACUAGGAUCUACUGGUCCAGGAUUCUAAGCAUCCACCACCUGAGCCCCCAGUUCCCUUCUGGGGUUUCGAGAAUGAAGUUCGGCAUCUCCAUAUAUGUCUAAUGACACCUUUGGACAAUCAAAUGCUGGCAUUUCUUGGGCAUCCAGAUGAGUGAAGCUGCUGUGGAAGAAGGAACCACCUGGCCAAUUGCAACAUCACCACGAUGUGGGUUGGUGGCCCAUUGCACAGUGCUACUGAAAUGACAAGUUCAGCAAAGACACCAAUACUGUGUAAAGGUAUCAUUGGCACUACAUAAAGCCAAGCCAGACUUGGAGGAAAAGAAGUCAAGACAGAAGUUAUGAACAAAGACACAUGUGGAUAACAUCUUACUGAAUAUGGACUUAGCAAUAAUAGAAUAUUUAUUAUUAUUAUUUAGUCAAUUUGAUGAUUAUGAGCAUUUUAUUACUUUUCAUAAUGAUAUCACUUUCCCAGGAUUAGUGAAGUAUACAUUUUUUUGUAGGAAAGAAAGCUGUGAAUGCUGUGGAUGUAGAAACACAUAUGUCUUUAUAAGUUCUAGUCUCAGAGUGUAGUAAAGGUUGACAUGAUGUCAUCAUGAAGUUCUUACAAAUGUUUCUCAUAACUUAGAAAUUUCUGAAUCUGUUAUUUAUUGCAAUUUUUCAAAGCUGAUCUAAACUCUUCAUCUGAAUGAAAAGCUGUGA
rnacentral:lncRNA from 1 species